rnacentral:rRNA from 1 species
GACGAACGCUGGCGGCGUGCUUAACACAUGCAAGUCGAACGAUGAAGCCGGAGCUUGCUCUGGUGAAUUAGUGGCGAACGGGUGAGUAACACGUGAGUGACCUGCCCUUGACUCUGGGAUAACUGCUAGAAAUGGUAGCUAAUACCGGAUACGACCCUCGGAGGCAUCUCCAGGGGGUGGAAAGAAUUUCGGUCAAGGAUGGACUCGCGGCCUAUCAGCUAGUUGGUGAGGUAACGGCUCACCAAGGCGACGACGGGUAGCCGGCCUGAGAGGGUGAACGGCCACACUGGGACCGAGACACGGCCCAGACUCCUACGGGAGGCAGCAGUGGGGAAUAUUGCACAAUGGGCGCAAGCCUGAUGCAGCAACGCCGCGUGAGGGAUGACGGCCUUCGGGUUGUAAACCUCUUUUAGUAGGGAAGAAGCGAAAGUGACGGUACCUGCAGAAAAAGCACCGGCUAACUACGUGCCAGCCGCCGCCGUAA